rnacentral:rRNA from 1 species
GACGAACGCUGGCGGCGUGCUUAACACAUGCAAGUCGAACGGUAAGGUCCUUUCGGGGGUACUCGAGCGGUGACCGGGUGCGUAACAGUUAGGUGAUCUGCCCUGCCCUUUGGGAUAAGCCUGGGAUAGUGGGUCUGGUACUGGUACGGAAUAAGCGAUGCAUGCCCAGUGUUGGAAAGUUUAGGCGGGGUGGGCUGUGACUUCUGCCUAUCCGCUCGUUGGUGGGGUGAUGGCCUACCAAGGCGACGACCGGUAGCCGGCCUGCGAGGGUGACCGGCCACACUGGGACUGAGAUACGGCGCAGACUCCUACGGGAGGCAGCAGUGGGGAAUAUUGCACAAUGGGCGCAAGCCUGAGGCAGCGACGCCGCGUGGGGGAUGACGGCCUUCUGGUUGUAAACCCCUUUCAGCACAGACGAAGCGUAAGUGACGGUAUGUGCAGAAGAAGCACCGGCCAACUACGUG